CUAAAAGAAGAUAAAUCAGUGGACAUGGGAAACCUAGAGUGGGAAAAUAUUCUAAUAAGAUAGUUUCUUUUAGAAAACAGGAAGAAAUGGAAGAAUCAUCUUCUCUUAGACUGCUUGUUAUGUGCCUAAUUGUAAUUAUAGUGUUGGCAGCAGGGCUGUAUGGAAAAUUACCAGUGUGGUGGUGUGGAAUAUAUCGGAGUCGCAGAGUCAUCAGUCUCCGAGCACUUAGUUCUACAUUAUCCAUCAAUUUAUUCAGCAUUCGAUAAUUUACAUUCAGCUGCUUUGUAUGUGCAAUCAUGAAUAUGAUAGUAGUUUAGAUUUUUGCUCUCAUUAGAAGUUUAAAAAAAGAAAUUUAAAUAUAAUAUUCACUGAAUAUAUUAGGAUUCAUAAGUGUAUUAUAUAUAUGACAAUGUGAUAAGACUGUUGUAUGGAAUAUGAUGCAAUAUUUAUAUUUGUAAGAAUGAGGCUUUGUUGUUCAAAUGACGAAAUGGUGUAAGAAAGGAGCAAACAUCUCCGGACUUAACCAAUUGUUUCCCCGUGAAGCACACGCUUAUGAAUAAUCUAUUUUUGCGACGGACGCGACCUCAGGCGCAUUCAGAGAUAUGUCAUCGACACAUGGGAUUUCGUCGGCUAUAAUCGCACAAGUGUCCUCAACCGAAUAACAACAGCCCAAGAAAUAGUACAUAAAUUUGAUCCUAUAAAACUCCCAUACUUUGUCGGGAUAUCUUAAAUAUUUCCAUAUUUAGCCUUUUUAAUUUCAAAUUUAGUUAUCCAAGUUAAAAUAUAAACGUAUUUGAUUGAUAAAAUCACCAUUACAUAACCUGUGCUGACGAUGUGCUCUAGCCUCUAAAUCUUUACCUUGUAAAUGAAAAAAAAAUCUAAAAAAAUACAUCAUUAAUUGCUGAUGGUUUUAACCAAAAAUAUUUUUAAUGAGACAUAUCCAAGAGAAAUAAAAAUUAAAGUACUAA